GACGAACGCUGGCGGCGUGCUUAACACAUGCAAGUCGAACGGAAAGGCCCUGCUUUUGUGGGGUGCUCGAGUGGCGAACGGGUGAGUAACACGUGAGUAACCUGCCCUUGACUUUGGGAUAACUUCAGGAAACUGGGGCUAAUACCGGCUAGGAGCUCCUGCUGCAUGGUGGGGGUUGGAAAGUUUCGGCGGUUGGGGAUGGACUCGCGGCUUAUCAGCUUGUUGGUGGGGUAGUGGCUUACCAAGGCUUUGACGGGUAGCCGGCCUGAGAGGGUGACCGGCCACAUUGGGACUGAGAUACGGCCCAGACUCCUACGGGAGGCAGCGGUGGGGAAUAUUGCACAAUGGGCGGAAGCCUGAUGCAGCAACGCCGCGUGCGGUAUGACGGCCUUCGGGUUGUAAACCGCUUUCGCCUGUGACGAAGCGUGAGUGACGGUAAUGGGUAAAGAAGCACCGGCUAACUACGUG
rnacentral:rRNA from 1 species